UACGAAGGGGGCUAGCGUUGCUCGGAAUCACUGGGCGUAAAGCGCACGUAGGCGGAUCUUUAAGUCAGGGGUGAAAUCCUGGAGCUCAACUCCAGAACUGCCUUUGAUACUGGGGAUCUCGAGUCCGGGAGAGGUGAGUGGAACUGCGAGUGUAGAGGUGAAAUUCGUAGAUAUUCGGAAGAACACCAGUGGCGAAGGCGGCUCACUGGCCCGGUACUGACGCUGAGGUGCGAAAGCGUGGGGAGCAAACAGG
rnacentral:rRNA from 1 species